AUAAAGUUCCUUUGGGUAAGAAGUACUACUUGUCAUCAAAAUGGAUAAAAGGAGAUGUAUCUAGACGUAUUUUAGUUCUAGAUACGUCCCUUUUUAUCCAUUUUGAUGACAAGUAUUUUCGGACGGAGCGAGCUUAUA
rnacentral:pre_miRNA from 1 species